rnacentral:rRNA from 1 species
CCCUUAGAUGUUCUGGGCUGCACGCGUGCUACAAUGGCGCUUGCAACAAGUCUUGCCAACCCGAUAGGGUGAGCGGAUCUUUGAAGAGGCGUCGUGAUCGGGACAGUUGAUUGCAAUUAUUCGACUCGAACGAGGAAUUCCUUGUAAUCGCGAUUCAUCAUAUCGCGCUGAAUACGCCCCUGCCCUUUGUACACACCGCCCGUCGCUCCUACCGAUUGAGCGAUCCGGUGAAUGUUUUGGACUGGCGUCAGAAGCGGUUCGCUCCUGACACUACGAAAUUUUGUAAACCUUAUCGCUUAGAGGAAGGAAAAGUCGUAACA